GGCGCUUGCCCGCUCGCUCGCACACAGAAAGAAAAAAAAAAAAAGGGGCGCGCGCGCGCAGAAGCCGAGACCGGGAGAGAUUAAAACCCCGAGCUUUGGGGACGGGGACGGGGACGACGGGAGGACGGGGACGACGGGGACGACCGGGGCUUCAGAAAUCCAAGCCGGGAGAGCCGCGCGAGACGGAGAAAGUCGCGGCGAAAGCGACUUCCGCUCGACCGGUGUCCCCACCGGAAGUGUCCGCCCGCCGACUUCCUGGGGCCUCUCUCCUUCUCUGGAUCUCCUGUUACUUUUCUGUUGUGAACCCUUCACUCUGAAGCUUGCAUAUUCCAUGGCUGCCUCCUCAGGUUCUCACUGAUGAUGAUUGCCUCAUGGUGUAUACUCCAUCACCUUACCCAUUGCAGUUCACCCAGGACAUCAACUCUCUCUAGGAAGCUGCUUCUCCAGCCUGCCUGCAGAAGCCCACCAACUUGCUACUACUGUAUGAAUAAUAAAAACAAAACACAAAGGCAGUGUUUCAUGCCAUGACCACCGGAGGGCCGCCUAGGAUCAAUCUUGGAAUGGAGACUCUACACAUAUGGAAGACUGAGAACUUCCGGACCCCAGCACAAGAUGCUCUCUGCUCUGAGCAUACGGUGCCUCACUGUGGUUGCUGAAGCCUCCUUACCAAGAGAGAAAUCAUGCAUGUAGGGAACGGCAGAAUCUGAUAUUACAGGUCUUUUGAAUUCCAAGAGAAUGUCAUCCUCUUCAUAUUAACCUCAUACGCUUGAAGGAUAGGGAAAAGCCACCCACUGACCUCUCAGCGCCUUGUCUGUUCCUUUAGUCUAAAAGGUUGUGGAGAAAACCAGCUGGAAAUUUCAUGGAUGAUAGUGACAAUGCUGUAAACAUCCACCCACAUUAAAAAUAGUUUUAUUGUUUUAGGAGUACAUGCAUAUUAUAUUUUGAUCACAUUCACCCCCUUUACCUUCUCUUAUUGCCUUCACACUUUAUCUGGAAGCUUUUCUGCUUUUCAAGACCUACCCUCUGACUUUCUAGGUUUAAUUGGGGUUGGGGGCAUGUUCACAGGUGUGGGUCAUUUUCUUGGAGCAUAGACAACUGAUCAGUAUCUGCACCCUUAAAGGAAAGUGACUCCCAUUUCUCUAACAGUUUUUGGUGUCAGUAGCUUUUCUGCAGUGGGUACAGCCUCAUGAGUCCCUACCCUAUCCAAAAUAAAGUGAUGAUGGCCUCA